rnacentral:rRNA from 1 species
UACGAAGGGGGCUAGCGUUGUUCGGAAUUACUGGGCGUAAAGCGCGCGCAGGCGGCUAUCCAAGUCCGUGGUGAAAGCCCGGAGCUCAACUCCGGAACUGCUAUUGAAACUGUUUAGCUUGAGUAUGAGAGAGGUGAGUGGAAUUCCCAGUGUAGAGGUGAAAUUCGUAGAUAUUGGGAAGAACACCGGUGGCGAAGGCGGCUCACUGGCUCAUUACUGACGCUCAGGCGCGACAGCGUGGGGAUCAAACAGG